rnacentral:rRNA from 1 species
AUUGAACGCUGGCGGCAUGCCUUACACAUGCAAGUCGAACGGCAGCACGGGUGCUUGCACCUGGUGGCGAGUGGCGAACGGGUGAGUAAUACAUCGGAACGUACCUUAUCGUGGGGGAUAACGCAGCGAAAGCUGUGCAAAUACCGCAUACGCACUGAGGGGGAAAGCGGGGGAUCGCAAGACCUCGCGCGAUUAGAGCGGCCGAUGCCUGAUUAGGUUGUUGAUGGGGUAAAAGCCCACCAAGGCGACGAUCAGUAGCUGGUCUGAGAGGACGAUCAGCCACACUGGGACUGAGACACGGCCCAGACUCCUACGGGAGGCAGCAGUGGGGAAUUUUGGACAAUGGGGGCAACCCUGAUCCAGCAAUGCCGCGUGAGUGAAGAAGGCCUUCGGGUUGUAAAGCUCUUUUGUCAGGGAAGAAACACCGGCUCUAACACAGUCUGGGAAUGACGGUACCUGAAGAAUAAGCACCGGCUAACUACGUGCCAGCCGCCGCAGUAA